AAAUUGAGAAGUCUCAAAGCUCAGUUUGGGGAGCCAUUAAAUUGGACUGAUUACUUAUCAUUACCAUUUACACAGAAGGUAAUCACAGAAACUUUAAGAAUAGGAAAUAUUAUAAUUGGUGUAAUGAGAAAGGCAAUGAAGGAUAUAGAGAUAAAAGAAUAUUUGAUACCCAAGGGAUGGUGUGCUUUUGCAUACCUUGGAUGAAUUCAUCUUGAUGAAAAUCACUAUGAUUGGCCUUACCAAUUCAAUCCUUGGAGGUGGCAAGACAAGGACAUGAGCAGUUGCAACUUCACUCCAUUUGGAGGUGGACAAAGAUUAUGUCCUGGACUAGAUUGGCCAAGCUUGAAGCUUCCAUUUUCUUGCACCAUUUUGUUACUCAAUUUAGGUAAUUUUUUUUCUCACUCUUCUAUUUUCUUCCAUUUUUAUAGAAAUGAGAAAUUUUU